rnacentral:rRNA from 1 species
GUGCACCAGUCGCGAAUACUUUACAAUGUGCGAAAGCACGAUAAGGGAACUCUGAGUGCCUCCUAAGGAGGCUGUUCAGGUGUCUAAAAGCACCUGAAGGAAGGGCCGGGUAAGACCGGUGCCAGCCGCCGCGGUAACACCGGCAGCCCAAGUGGUAGCCACGUUUAUUGGGUCUAAAGCGUCCGUAGCCGGCUGGGUAAGUUCCUUGGGAAAUUUGGCUGCUUAACAGUCAAGCUUUCAGGGAAUACUGCCCGGCUUGGGACCGGGAGAGGUCAGAGGUACUCCAGGGGUAGGGGUGAAAUCCAUUAAUCCUUGGGGGACCACCGGUAGCGAAGGCGUCUGACCAGACCGGGUCCGACGGUGAGGGACGAAGGCUAGGGGCGCGAACCGGAUUAGAUACCCGUGUAG